rnacentral:rRNA from 1 species
UACGUAGGGUGCGAGCGUUGUCCGGAAUUAUUGGGCGUAAAGGGCUCGUAGGCGGUUUGUCGCGUCGGGAGUGAAAUCACUGGGCUUAACCGAGUGCUUGCUUUCGAUACGGGCAGACUUGAGGCAUUCAGGGGAGAACGGAAUUCCUGGUGUAGCGGUGGAAAUGCGCAGAUAUCAGGAGGAACACCGGUGGCGAAGGCGGUUCUCUGGGAUGUUCUGACGCUGAGGAGCGAAAGUGUGGGGAGCGAACAGG